GGGGAAUUUUCCGCAAUGGGCGAAAGCCUGACGGAGCAAGACCGCGUGGGGGAAGAAGGCUCUUGGGUUGUAAACCCCUUUUCUCUGGGAAGAAAGUUGUGAAAGCAACCUGACGGUACCAGAGGAAUCAGCAUCGGCUAACUCCGUGCCAGCAGCCGCGGUAAGACGGAGGAUGCAAGCGUUAUCCGGAAUGAUUGGGCGUAAAGCGUCCGCAGGUGGCAGUUCAAGUCUGCUGUCAAAGACCGGGGCUUAACUUCGGAAAGGCAGUGGAAACUGAACAGCUAGAGUAUGGUAGGGGCAGAGGGAAUUCCUGGUGUAGCGGUGAAAUGCGUAGAGAUCAGGAAGAACAUCGGUGGCGAAGGCGCUCUGCUGGACCAUAACUGACACUCAGGGACGAAAGCUAGGGGAGCGAAUGGGAUU
rnacentral:rRNA from 1 species